rnacentral:rRNA from 1 species
GACGAACGCUGGCGGUGUGCUUCACACAUGCAAGUCGAACGAGGUAGCAAUACCUAGUGGCGGACGGGUGAGUAACGCGUGGGAAUCUGCCUUUAGAUGGGGGAUAACGGGUCGAAAGACUCGCUAAUACCGCAUAUGACGAAAGUUGAAAGGAGUAAUCCGUCUAAAGAUGAGCCCGCGUCCGAUUAGCUAGUUGGUAGAGUAAAAGCCUACCAAGGCGACGAUCGGUAGCUGGUCUGAGAGGAUGAUCAGCCACAAUGGGACUGAAGACACGGCCCAUAACUCCUACGGGAGGCAGCAGUGGGAAUUUUACGCAAUGGGCGAAAGCCUGACGUAGCGACACCGCGUGAGCGAAGAAGCCUCUUGGGGUGUAAAGCUCUGUCAGCUGGAACGAAAAAAAAUGACGGUACCAGCAGAGGAAGCAUCGGCUAACUACGUGCCAGCAGCCGCGGUAAU